UUUCGCGUCUCUGCACAUUCUUUUGGCGCCUGUACCUGAGCGUAGGAGGCUGCGUUAUCCCCUUGAGAGUAAAUGAGAGCUGUGCCUGAAUCCACUGUUGUCACGGAGCUAAAGGCAGUGAAUUCCGCUAAAAUGGUCAGGUUUUGGUAAAGAGUUGGAAGCCUUGUGCAGCUGAGAUCCAUUCCACGGAGUGAUACCAAUCUACAUGUUCCAGACGUUUUUCCAGAGCUUUGUGGAUUCCCAGUCUAGGUGGCUGGGUGGCGAGCCAACCGUGUUUGUGACUCUGACUUUAGACGGAUUGCCAGGAUCUUCCUCAUCUUUAUGGUGGUAGGACAAACACUAACACAAACUUAAAAGGGCCCCAAUGGUGAGAAAUGAACUCUUGUCAAUAAAGGCAAGUGGAACUAAGGACGAACUGAGCUCAACGAAGUUAAAAGGAAAGGGUUUUUUUUUUUAUGUGCGCACUUUAUUAUUUUAGUUUGUUAUUUUUCA